GAUGAACGCUAGCGGCAGGCUUAAUACAUGCAAGUCGUGGGGCAGCGCAGUGUAGCAAUACAUGGGCGGCGACCGGCAAACGGGUGCGUAACACGUACGCAACCUUCCCGUUACUGGGGAAUAGCCCAGGGAAACUUGGAUUAAUACCCCAUAUUAUAUUGAUUGGGCAUCUAAUUAAUAUCAAAGCUUCGGCGGUAACGGAUGGGCGUGCGGUUGAUUAGGUAGUUGGCGGGGUAACGGCCCACCAAGCCUACGAUCAAUAGCUGAUGUGAGAGCAUGAUCAGCCACACGGGCACUGAGACACGGGCCCGACUCCUACGGGAGGCAGCAGUAAGGAAUAUUGGGCAAUGGACGAAAGUCUGACCCAACCAUGCCGCGUGGAGGAUGAAGGUCCUCUGGAUUGUAAACUUCUUUUUUCUGGGGCGAAAACCGGUUUUUCUAAACCAUUUGACAGUACCAGAAGAAUAAGCACCGGCUAACUGCGUGCCAGCCGCCGCCGUAACAC
rnacentral:rRNA from 1 species